rfam:Myotis davidii contig161783, whole genome shotgun sequence.
GGCCAGGUAGCUCAGUUGGUUAGAGUACUGACCCGAUAUGCCAAAGUUGUAGGUUCAAUCCCCACUCAGGGCA